AUUAAAUAUUGAAUCCGAGCUUUUUAUUCUAAAGGAAGCUUCCCAUGAAUACUAAGCCUAAACCGGAGGGUUUACGGGGUUAGACAGGAAACAGUCUGGCCUUCACUUGUGAGAAGGAUGAUGCUUAAAAACAGA
rfam:Desulfosporosinus youngiae DSM 17734 chromosome, whole genome shotgun sequence.